CCUACGGGAGGCAGCAGUGGGGAAUAUUGGGCAAUGGGCGCAAGCCUGACCCAGCAACGCCGCGUGAAGGAAGAAGGCUUUCGGGUUGUAAACUUCUUUUCUCAGGGACGAAGCAAGUGACGGUACCUGAGGAAUAAGCCACGGCUAACUACGUGCCAGCAGCCGCGGUAAUACGUAGGUGGCAAGCGUUAGACGGAUUUACUGGGUGUAAAGGGCGUGUAGGCGGGAGUGCAAGUCAGAUGUGAAAACCACGGGCUCAAACUGUGGCCUGCAUUUGAAACUGUAGUUCUUGAGUACUGGAGAGGCAGACGGAAUUCCAAGUGUAGCGGUGAAAUGCGGAGAUAGUAGGAGGAACACCAGUGGCGAAGGCGAUGUGCUGGAAAGCAACAGACGCUGAGGCGCGAAAGCGUGGGGAGCAAACAGGAUUAGAUACCCUUGUAGUC
rnacentral:rRNA from 1 species